rnacentral:rRNA from 1 species
AGCGAACGCUAGCGGCGGGCCUAACACAUGCAAGUCGAGCGCCCUUCGGGGAGCGGCGAACGGGUGAGUAACACGUAGGUAAUCUGCCCUUUGGUGGGGGAUAGCCCGGGGAAACCCGGAUUAAUACCGCAUAUGGUCUUCGGAUCAAAGCCUUCGGGCGCCAAAGGAUGAGCCUGCGGCCCAUUACCUAGUAGGUGGGGUAACGGCCUACCUAGGGAACGAUGGGUAGCUGGUCUGAGAGGAUGAUCAGCCACACUGGAACUGAGACACGGUCCAGACUUCUACGGGAGGCAGCAGUGGGGAAUAUUGCGCAAUGGGCGAAAGCCUGACGCAGCCACGCCGCGUGUGUGAUGAAGGCUUUCGGGUCGUAAAGCACUGUCGGGAGGGAAGAAGAUCUGACGGUACCUCCCAAGAAAGCACCGGCUAACUCCGUGCCAGCAGCCGCGGUAAUACGGAGGGUGCGAGCGUUGCUCGGAAUCACUGGGCGUAAAGCGUACGUAGGCGGAUUGUUAAGUCGGGUGUGAAAGCCCAGGGCUCAACCCUGGAAUUGCGCUCGAUACUGGCAGUCUUGAGUACGGGAGAGGGAUAGCGGAAUGUCUGGUGUAGAGGUGAAAUUCGUAGAUAUCAGACGGAACACCAGUGGCGAAAGCGGCUUCCUGGCCCGAUACUGACGCUGAGGUACGAAAGUGUGGGGAGCAAACAGGAUUAGAUACCCUGGUAGUCCACACCGUAAACGAUGAGUGCUAGCUGCUGGGAAUGUUACCGUCUCAGUGGCGAAGCUGACGCAU